CAGGUUUUUGCUUGUGUUAAAUACCCAACAAAGAGUCAAAGACCAUGGGUUUAUCCUAACACUAUUUAUGCUAUGAACAUAAUAAAGUUUGAUUUUAUUUAUGCUCAUGCAAUUACCUCAUUUUCUAUUAUACAGUUUUAGAUGGCGUUACAAACAACUUCAACGCCUUAUGUUCGUUUAUGCUCAUGAUUCCCCUCAUUUUUUUUACUAGCCCAAUUUAUGCUUUGUCAUCUAUUUUACCCUCAAAUUUUAAUUUGUGUUUUACCUAUAAUGGUAUUUUCGGUGGUUUACAGAUUUCAGAGAGGACAUCGAAUCAAUUAGUAACUUCCUCAAAUUUUAAUACUCCCCCUUCAUCGAUUGGGGAACCACACUGUUGCGACGAUCUAUGAUUGUGUGGUAUAGUAUCUAUCAAGUCACAAAUAACAUUGAAGGUUUUGAUAGAUGAUUGUUCUCUACACGAGGGGCUUAAAAGGAGGACCUUCUAAAUUUUACAUGUGAGAUCGGAAUGAUGUAAGAGUUUUUAAAUCACUAGCAUGAACUCAAUUUGGAGUAUAUUUCUGGAAUUUGCUGAAUUGCAAACCCAAACAUGUCAAGCAGCAUUGAGUAGUAACAAUUAUCAUUGCAUAAUUUCUUGCUCGAGGGCUCUCUGAUUGUAAUACAUAUUGACUGAAUCAUUUGUUCUCCUACUGUCAUUUAGAAGGAAACUGUUCAGCUUUAAUUGGAUACCAAUUCGCCUAUCAGUGGCACUUUGAAAGAUCUUCUAACGAUGGGUUGAAGCAUAUCUUCAAUCAAGCAUGCUAAGGUAUCUCUCAAUUGCUACUUAUGAUGCCAACAUAGCUAGAGUUUCCUAAUUUUACUAAUAUUCUAACAAUGGAGCCUUUACAACUUUAUAGAAAACAAUUGCAGGUCCCAUUAUUAAGCCUGUCAAGGUCUUAAUAUAAAAGUGACGAUGAGAUUCUUAAGCUGGUUGGAUCUUUGUCUAAACUCUAAACAAUUCUAGGGAUGGUACCACUCUAAAGAGGAAACAUUCAUUGCUAAUGUGACUUCCUACUUAAGAUCAACUUUGAGUAUUUUGGUAAGGCUUCGAGUAUUUAGGGGAAUCAAUGUUGUCUUAUGGGUUUGCGGGAAUAAGUGUGCUUCAAUUGAAGUGUCAACAACUAACUCACACAAAAAAUUGUGUAGGAAAGAUUUUUCAGAUUAAGUUAAUUAUUCACAAAUUCACAAUGAACAGAUUGGAAUGAAGUUGGAUGAGAUAUUCGUUCUGGGCUUUGUUUUUUUUUAGAAAGGGUUUACAAACACCCAUAUUUGCAGUCUAGAUCUUCAUCUGAUAUCUGUACAUACGUAGAGUCGAGGGCAGGAACGUUAUUUGCAAUUUGACAUCAAAGGUUGUUGAAUUUUAUUGAGGGCAUCUUUAUGCUUAAUGGUGUUUGUGAUUCAAUUUAUACUUCCAUUAUGGCAUUUUCUUUUUUUGUGCUUCUUAAGUAAGAUAUGUACUUGUGUUCUUCUAUAUAUAGUUUUCCUUUACCAAUUUUUAAUUAUCAAAAUCAUCAAUAUGAAUUCUCUUUGUUUCAGCAUGAUCUAAGCAAUUUAAUGCAAUUAUCAGAGCUCACUUAUUAAUAAAACUCAUUUUGAACAAUUUAGUUGGUGGAUGUGAGGCUAGAUUAAUGUUAUGUUCUUGUUUCAAUUGAAAAUCUUAUCUGUUAAGGAUCUAAUGUGUGCAUCUAUAAUCUGUUGUACAGAUUAUGCCUAUAGGAAUGGGGUCUCGUGUCCUGGAAAUUAGAAUGUGUUGUAGUGGAGUGUGUAAAUUCUACAUUAGCUGAGGUAUGUAUCUAACUUGCUUUCUAUUCAUUAAGGUUCUUAAUAAUCAAUGUACUAUUGAACCAUCUAUUGAACAAGUGGUGCUCAUUCUCGCAAAUUCGAGUUGUACCACAACUGGUAUUCAUGCCGUUCCAGUUCCUCAUAGUGGUUGACUGUUGCCAAUUGUUGAACAUGUAGAGCUCCUUGCUGCAAAUCAAGGGGAGGUUGGCAGGGGCAAUUUUUGGUUGAGAGAGUGUAGGUGAAUGCAGGGUGGAGGGUGAGUGAUGGUGGGGCCGCACAGAUUGCAGUUUGAGAUAGGCAUGAUCUUCCAAUCCACUAUUAGUCAACAAGGUGAUGAAAGCACGUCUUGGUAUUAUAUGAGGAGCCUAAAUGUGUUUCCACCAACGUUGAGAUCGGAGUUACCUCUAGAUCUUAGAACCUCAUAAGCAGUGUUGAUUGUGUAUUUACCUGUACUUACCUGUAGGAUGUGGUAUUCCUUAGAGCAUUCCAAAUGUGUUUUAACUCCAGUGUAGAAUUCUGAGGCAUUACCCAUCUUCCAUGUUGAAGUUUGUCUAUGUAGGUUGUGUUCUUUUUUCCAGCCAUUUCACUCCAGAGAGUUGUUAGUCUUGUACUAUGGAUUUGGUAUAGAUUAGUAUUUAGUAGUCUUUACAUUUGUUGAACUCAUUUCAGUAUGUACAUCAUUGAAUGAUAUCUUCUGCAGUUAUGCUGCUCUAUAGUUUUCUCAAUAUGAUACCUCCUUGUAGUAUGACAACAGCGUAAGCAUGUUAGUGUGAACUGUAACAUUAACAUCUCUGUCGGGCAGAUCGGUACUGAUUAUUUAUGAUCUAUGCUCAUUAUUUUUUGGUAGGCAUCCAAGAUGCAGAUUAUGCUGCACGAAAAUUCAAUUUUCAUUUUUUAUUCAUCUAUAGGUUUUGCUUAAUGUGUCAGUUUGUAAUGUCAGUUGAUGGUUCUUGCUUGCUAUGUGUGAAAUAGCGUAGGUGGCUUUAACAGUACUAGAAGCAUUUCUGUGAUCAGGAAAUAGCUUGUCAAAGCAUGCUGCACAAAUGGUAGACAAUUGAGAUUAAUCUGGUGUUUAGGAUUAGAUCUUCCAUCUAAGGUUUCGUUUUUCUUAC
rnacentral:lncRNA from 1 species